rnacentral:rRNA from 1 species
UACGGAGGGAGCUAGCGUUGUUCGGAAUUACUGGGCGUAAAGCGCGCGUAGGCGGCUUUGUAAGUUAGAGGUGAAAGCCCGGGGCUCAACUCCGGAACUGCCUUUAAGACUGCAUCGCUUGAAUCCGGGAGAGGUGAGUGGAAUUCCGAGUGUAGAGGUGAAAUUCGUAGAUAUUGGGAAGAACACCAGUGGCGAAGGCGGCCAUCUGGCCUGGAAUUGACGCUGAGGCGCGAAAGCGUGGGGAGCAAACAGG